CCUACGGGAGGCUGCAGUGAGGAAUAUUGGUCAAUGGACGAGAGUCUGAACCAGCCAAGUAGCGUGAAGGAUGACUGCCCUAUGGGUUGUAAACUUCUUUUAUAUGGGAAUAAAAUGUUCCACGUGUGGGAUUUUGUCUGUACCAUAUGAAUAAGGAUCGGCUAACUCCGUGCCAGCAGCCGCGGUAAUACGGAGGAUCCGAGCGUUAUCCGGAUUUAUUGGGUGUAAAGGGAGCGUAGGUGGAUUGUUAAGUCAGUUGUGAAAGUUUGCGGCUCAACCGUUAGAGUGCAUGUGAAACUGGCAGUCUUGAGUACAGUAGAGGUAGGCGGAAUUCGUGGUGUAGCGGUGAAAUGCUUAGAUAUCACGAAGAACUCCGAUGGCGAAGGCAGCUCGCUGGACUGCAACUGACACUGAGGCUCGAAAGUGUGGGUAUCAAACAGGAUUAGAUACCCCAGUAAUC
rnacentral:rRNA from 1 species